rnacentral:rRNA from 1 species
UACGAAGGGGGCUAGCGUUGCUCGGAAUCACUGAGCGUAAAGCGCACGUAGGCGGAUUGUUAAGUCAGGGGUGAAAUCCUGGAGCUCAACUCCAGAACUGCCUUUGAUACUGGCGAUCUCGAGUCCGGGAGAGGUGAGUGGAACUGCGAGUGUAGAGGUGAAAUUCGUAGAUAUUCGCAAGAACACCAGUGGCGAAGGCGGCUCACUGGCCCGGUACUGACGCUGAGGUGCGAAAGCGUGGGGAGCAAACAGG